AGCCUCAGGGUGGCUCUGCCUGAGGGCCCAGCCGGCCCCGCUCCCGUCCUCUGCUGCAGCUCCUCCGGAGCAACUGCAGCCUCGGUGAUAGCACCUGGAAAAGGGGCACAUCUUGCCAAGGUGUGCCCAAGGGGCAGGUUGGGUUGCUGUGAUGAUGGGUACACAGGGCCCUGCACACGGCUUUCCAGUCGGAGCUGCAAAAGGAGACACAAAAAUCACAGCUCAUUCCAAGAGGUGCCUGCAGCCAGCAGCACCCAGCAGCAUUGUCACCACUGCAAGCAGCCACUGACAGCCGACCUGAGAAUGAACAUGAGGGCCAGGGAGGAGGCAGCUCAGCCUGCAGCGUCAGCAGCGCAGUUCGGCAGAGCCUGCUAAUCGUCUUGCUCAAGUUUCAAACUCUGUUUACCAAAUGACCACAGAAGCGUUUUAACAACAAACACCUCAUUUGAAGGCCAAGAUGAAAAAUUUUACAUAAAAAAUUAAUUUU
rnacentral:lncRNA from 1 species